GUUUGAAUGAUGACUUUGAUUGUCGGAUACCCCUUCACUCCAUUUAUGAGUGAUAAAAUAUAGUCUGACAAAC
ensembl:snoRNA SNORD101 small nucleolar RNA, C/D box 101